AAAGGAAUAGACGGGGGCCCGCACAAGCGGUGGAGUAUGUGGUUCAAUUCGACGCAACGCGAAGAACCUUACCAGGGCUUAAACUGCAGGGUAAACCUCCUGAAAGGGGGGGUGCUUCGGCGAUCCUGUAGAGGUGCUGCAUGGCUGUCGUCAGCUCGUGUCGUGAGAUGUUGGGUUAAGUCCCGCAACGAGCGCAACCCUUGUCCUUAGUUACCAGCGGGUCAAGCCGGGGACUCUAAGGAUACUGCCGUCGCAAGGCGGAGGAAGGUGGGGAUGACGUCAAGUCCUCAUGGCCCUUAUGUCCUGGGCUACACACGUACUACAAUGGCCGGUACAACGAGCUGCCAGCCCGCGAGGGUGAGCUAAUCUCCUGAAAGCCGGCCCCAGUUCAGAUUGCAGUCUGCAACUCGACUGCAUGAAGGCGGAAUCGCUAGUAAUCGCGGAUCAGCACGCCGCGGUGAAUACGUUCCCGGGCCUUGUACACACCGCCCGU
rnacentral:rRNA from 1 species